AUUGAACGCUGGCGGCAGGCCUAACACAUGCAAGUCGAACGGCAGCACAGAAGAGCUUGCUCUUUGGGUGGCGAGUGGCGGACGGGUGAGUAAUGUCUGGGAAACUGCCCGAUGGAGGGGGAUAACUACUGGAAACGGUAGCUAAUACCGCAUAACGUCGCAAGACCAAAGUGGGGGACCUUCGGGCCUCACACCAUCGGAUGUGCCCAGAUGGGAUUAGCUAGUAGGUGGGGUAAUGGCUCACCUAGGCGACGAUCCCUAGCUGGUCUGAGAGGAUGACCAGCCACACUGGAACUGAGACACGGGCCAGACUCCUACGGGAGGCAGCAGUGGGGAAUAUUACACAAUGGGCGCAAGCCUGAUGCAGCCAUGCCGCGUGUAUGAGGAAGGCCUUCGGGUUGUAAAGUACUUUCAGCGGGGAGGAAGGCGGUGAGGUUAAUAACCUUGCCGAUUGACGUUACCCGCAGAAGAAGCACCGGCUAACUCCGUGCCAGCCGCCGCGGUAACAC
rnacentral:rRNA from 1 species